rnacentral:tRNA from 1 species
GGGGGUGUGGCUAAGUUGGUAGAGUGCUUGCCUAGCAUGUGUGAGGCACUGGGUUCGAUUCCCAGCACCACAU